CAGUAGCCGCGGGAAAACGGAGGGUGCAAGCGUUAAUCGGAAUUACUGGGCGUAAAGCGCACGCAGGCGGUUUGUUAAGUCAGAUGUGAAAUCCCCGAGCUUAACUUGGGAACUGCAUUUGAAACUGGCAAGCUAGAGUCUUGUAGAGGGGGGUAGAAUUCCAGGUGUAGCGGUGAAAUGCGUAGAGAUCUGGAGGAAUACCGGUGGCGAAGGCGGCCCCCUGGACAAAGACUGACGCUCAGGUGCGAAAGCGUGGGGAGUAAACAGGAUUAGAUACCCCUGUAGUCCCUGUCUCUUAUAC
rnacentral:rRNA from 1 species